rnacentral:rRNA from 1 species
ACUAGCAGUAAGAGUUUGAUCAUGGCUCAGGAUAAACGCUGGCGGCGUGCCUAAUGCAUGCAAGUCGAACGGGCGCACUUGUGCGUGACCGUGGCGGACGGGUGAGGAGCACGUAGCUGACCUGCCCCGGUGUGGGGGAUAUCCUCGGGAAACCGAGUGUAAUACCGCAUGUGCUCAUUUGGGGGGACCUGAAUGAGGAAAGCCGAGAGGCGUACCAGGAGGGGGCUGCGUCCGAUUAGCUAGUUGGUGGGGUAAUGGCUUACCAAGGCGAUGAUCGGUAGCUGGUCUGAGAGGACGAUCAGCCACACGGGGACUGAGACACGGCCCCGACUCCUACGGGAGGCAGCAGCAAGGAAUUUUCCACAAUGGGCGCAAGCCUGAUGGAGCAACGCCGCGUGCGGGAGGACGCCUUUCGGGGUGUAAACCGCUGUUCGUGGGGACGAAGCACUGACGGUACCCACGGAGGAAGGCCCGGCUAACUUCGUGCCAGCCGCCGCGGUAAUAC